rnacentral:rRNA from 1 species
UACGAAGGGCGCAAGCGUUAUCCGGAAUUAUUGGGCGUAAAGAGCUCGUAGGCGGUUUGUCGCGUCUGCCGUGAAAGUCCGGGGCUCAACUCCGGAUCUGCGGUGGGUACGGGCAGACUAGAGUGAUGUAGGGGAGACUGGAAUUCCUGGUGUAGCGGUGAAAUGCGCAGAUAUCAGGAGGAACACCGGUGGCGAAGGCGGGUCUCUGGGCAACAACUGACGCUGAGGAGCGAAAGCGUGGGGAGCGAACAGG